GAUGAAGAACGCAGCGAAAUGCGAUAAGUAGUGUGAAUUGCAGAAUUCAGUGAAUCAUCGAAUCUUUGAACGCACAUUGCGCCCUUUGGUAUUCCUUAGGGCAUGCCUGUUCGAGCGUCAUUUAAACCUUCAAGCUCAGCUUGGUGUUGGGUGACUGUCCGCUUCACCGCGGACUCGCCUCAAAAUUAUUGGCGGCCGGUACAUUAGCUUCGAGCGCAGCAGAAACGCGAACUCGGGCCCGUCGUAUUGGCUCCCAGAAGCUAUCUUCACAAUUUUGACCUCGGAUCAGGUAGGGAUACCCGCUGAACUUAAGCAUAUCAAUAAGCGGAGGA
rnacentral:misc_RNA from 1 species